AGGAAAUGAUUAGAUGCAGCAGUUUAAUUGAUAGGUCUGUUCGACCUUUAAAUCCUUACAUGAUCUGAGUUCAGACCGGCGUGAGCCAGGUCGGUUUCUAUCCUUAUUUUUUGUUUAUAUUUUAGUACGAAAGGACCAAGUAUUUUAAAUAAUUUAUUUUGUUUUGAUUAUUAAUA
rnacentral:rRNA from 1 species